UACAGAGGUCUCGAGCGUUAGGCGGAAUCACUGGGCUUAAAGCGUGUGUAGGCGGAUCGGUAAGUACCUUGUGAAAUCCCACAGCUUAACUGUGGAACUGCUUGGUAUACUGCCAGUCUUGAGCCACUUAGGGGCUACCGGAACAAAUGGUGGAGCGGUGAAAUGCGUAGAUAUCAUUUGGAACGCCAAUGGUGAAAACAGGUAGCUGGGAGUGUGCUGACGCUGAGGAGCGAAAGCGUGGGGAGCGAACAGG
rnacentral:rRNA from 1 species